rfam:Firmicutes bacterium CAG:114 genomic scaffold, scf209
GAGUAUUUGUAGCAUACAGGUGCUUGCCUGCGGGCGAGUGAAAAGGGAAUACGGUGAGAAUCCGUAACGAUGCCGUCACUGUGUAUGGGAGCUGCUUUUCGUGCAAUCACUGGGAAACUGGGAAGAGAAAAGCCGCGAAGAACAAAGUCAGGAGACCUGCCUGUAUGUAGAAUCUCAA